rfam:Gossypium hirsutum cultivar TM-1 chromosome 4, whole genome shotgun sequence
GCGCUCUUAGUUCACUUCAGUAGAACGUGAGUUUCUAAAACUCAAUGUUGUAGGUUCAAAUCCUACAGAGCAUG